rnacentral:rRNA from 1 species
CUGCCUGAUGGAGGGGGAUAACUACUGGAAACGGUNGCUAAUACCGCAUAACGUCGCANGACCAAAGAGGGGGACCUUCGGGCCUCUYGCCAUCDSAUGUGCCCAGAUGGGAUUAGCUAGUAGGUGGGGUAAYGGCYCACCUAGGCGACRAUCCCUAGCUGGUCUGAGAGGAUGACCASCCACACUGGAACUGAGACACGGUCCAGACUCCUACGGGAGGCAGCAGUGGGGAAUAUUGCACAAUGGGCGCAAGCCUGAUGCASCCAUGCCGCGUGUAUGAARAAGGCCUUCGGGUUGUAAAGUACUUUCASCGGGGAGGAAGGUGWUGUGGUUAAUAACCGCRYCAAUUGACGUUACCCGCASAAGAAGCACCGGCUAACUCCGUGCCAGCASCCGCGGUAAUACGGAGGGUGCAAGCGUUAAUCGGAAUUACUGGGCGUAAAGCGCACGCAGGCGGUCUGUSAAGUCDGAUGUGAAAUCCCCGGGCUCAACCUGGGAACUGCAUUYGAAACUGGCAGGCUAGAGUCUYGUAGAGGGGGGUAGAAUUCCAGGUGUAKCGGUGAAAUGCGUAKAGAUCUGGAGGAAUACCGGUGGCGAAGGCGGCCCCCUGKACAAAGACUGACGCUCAGGUGCGAAAGCGUGUGGAGCAAACAGGAUUAGAUACCCUGGUAGUCCACGCCGUAAACGAUGUCGACUUGKAGGUUGUGCCCUUGAGGCGUGGCUUCCGGAGCUAACGCGUUAAGUCGACCGCCUGGGGAGUACGGCCGCAAGGUUAAAACUCAAAUGAAUUGACGGGGGCCCGCACAAGCGGUGGAGCAUGUGGUUUAAUUCGAUGCAACGCGAAGAACCUUACCUACUCUUGACAUCCAGAGAACUUUCCAGAGAUGGAUUGGUGCCUUCGGGAACUCUGAGACAGGUGCUGCAUGGCUGUCGUCAGCUCGUGUUGUGAAAUGUUGGGUUAAGUCCCGCAACGAGCGCAACCCUUAUCCUUUGUUGCCACCGAUCCGGCCGGGAACUCAAAGGAGACUGCCGNUGAUAAACUGGAGGAAGGUGGGGAUGACGUCAAGUCAUCAUGGGCCUUACGAGUAGGGCUA